AACAACAGGCAUCACCAAAUACUUCUAAAAAGGGAUGACAAGGUGAAGAAUCUCACAGCUUUAGGUCAUCCAGACUUAAGAAUAUACAAAAUGCCUGAUUCUUGAUGGAUAUUUAGAUUUUACUGAUGGAUAACCAUAAGCCUGAACUCUACUACUGGAGAAUCAGUGCCACAUUUCCCUCCACUAAGGACUGCUCAUGGAGUGGUGUGAAUUUGUGGAACAUGUUCCAGUCUUUAAAACUGUGAUCUAGAAAACACAUGUAAUAUUGUAACUGACUUUCGGUGACUGAGGAUCGGUUUACCUGCAAUCUUCUCUUUUGUCCUGGGAUCGAGGAGCAGA
rnacentral:lncRNA from 1 species